GCCAUGCAUGUCUCAGUACAAACUAAAAUAAAGUGAAACCGCGAAUGGCUCAUUAAAUCAGUUACGGCUUAUUAGAUGUUGACUAUCUACAUGGAUAACUGUGGUAAUUCUAGAGCUAAUACAUGCACCAAAGCCUUGAUCCUAACGGUGAGAGGCGCAGUUAUUAGACCAAGACCAAUGGGCUUUCGGGCCCUUGCGAUGGUGACUCUGGAUAACGAUGCUGACCGCAUGGCCUCGUGCCGGCGGCGUAUCUUUCAAGUGUCUGCUCUAUCAACUUUCGAUGGUAGGUUAUGCGCCUACCAUGGUUGUAACGGGUAACGGGGAAUCAGGGUUCGAUUCCGGAGAGGGAGCCUGAGAAACGGCUACCACAUCUAAGGAAGGCAGCAGGCACGCAAAUUACCCACUCCCAGUACGGGGAGGUAGUGACGAAAAAUAACAAUACGGGACUCUAAUGAGGCCCCGUAAUUGGAAUGAGAACAAUCUAAAUCCUUUAACGAGGAUCAAUUGGAGGGCAAGUCUGGUGCCAGCAGCCGCGGUAAUUCCAGCUCCAAUAGCGUAUAUUAAAGUUGUUGCGGUUAAAAAGCUCGUAGUUGGAUCUCAGUCGACGGCCACGGGUCCUGCGGAUGUAGGCUACUCGUGGCCACGACAUAAUCAGCCGAUUCGAUACUGAGUUGCCCUUAAUCGGGUGGCUCAGUCGGACGGUACGUUUACUUUGAAAAAAUUAGAGUGCUCAAAGCAGGCGUGACGCCUGAAUAAUCUUGCAUGGAAUAAUGGAAUAGGACCUCGGUUCUAUUUUGUUGGUCUCCGGAUCUUGAGGUAAUGAUUAAGAGGGACUGCCGGGAGCAUUCGUAUUGCGGCGCUAGAGGUGAAAUUCUUGGACCGCUGCAAGACGAACUACAGCGAAAGCAUUUGCUAAGAAUGUUUUCUUUAAUCAAGAACGAAAGUUAGAGGUUCGAAGGCGAUCAGAUACCGCCCUAGUUCUAACCAUAAACGAUGCCAACCAGCAAUCAGCCUGAGUUCAUUUAUACGACUCGGCUGGCAGCUUCCCGGAAACUAAAGUCUUUGGGUUCCGGGGGAAGUAUGGUUGCAAAGCUGAAACUUAAAGGAAUUGACGGAAGGGCACCACCAGGAGUGGAGCCUGCGGCUUAAUUUGACUCAACACGGGAAAACUCACCCGGCCCGGACACUAGAAGGAUUGACAGAUUGAGAGCUCUUUCUUGAUUUAGUGGGUGGUGGUGCAUGGCCGUUCUUAGUUGGUGGAGUGAUUUGUCUGGUUAAUUCCGAUAACGAACGAGACUCUAGCCUACUUAAUAGAUCGGCACCUCCUUAUGGCGGUGUCGAACUUCUUAGAGGGAUAAUCUGCGACUCAGCAGAAUGAAAGAGAGCAAUAACAGGUCUGUGAUGCCCUUAGAUGUCCGGGGCCGCACGCGCGCUACACUGAAGAGGUCAGCUAGCAUAAGUUCCCGCUCCGUGAGGAGUGGGUAACCCACUGAACCUUCUUCGUGAUAGGGAUUGGUCUUUGUAAUUGUAGACCAUGAACGAGGAAUUCCCAGUAAGUGCGAGUCAUCAGCUCGCGUUGAUUACGUCCCUGCCCUUUGUACACACCGCCCGUCGCUACUACCGAUUGAAUGAUUUAGUGAGGUCUUCGGACCGACUGGUGAAGCUGCUCUCGGGUGGCAUCGCCGUGUUGGAAAGAUGCCCAAACUUGAUCAUUUAGAGGAAGUA
rnacentral:rRNA from 1 species